UGUAAUUAGAACAUCACAGCUCAGUUAGGUUUAAUUAGGUGUAAUUAGAACAUCACAGCUCAGUUAGUUGUAAUUAGGUGUAAUUAGAACAUCACAGCUCAGUUAGGUGUCAUUAGGUGUAAUUAGAACAUCA